rnacentral:rRNA from 1 species
UACGUAGGGUGCAAGCGUUGUCCGGAAUCACUGGGCGUAAAGGGUGCGUAGGCGGGUCUUUAAGUCAGGGGUGAAAUCCUGGAGCUCAACUCCAGAACUGCCUUUGAUACUGAAGAUCUUGAGUUCGGGAGAGGUGAGUGGAACUGCGAGUGUAGAGGUGAAAUUCGUAGAUAUUCGCAAGAACACCAGUGGCGAAGGCGGCUCACUGGCCCGGUACUGACGCUGAGGUGCGAAAGCGUGGGGAGCAAACAGG